CUUGAGUUAUUGUGAAGUAGUUAGAAUGUGUAGUGUAGCGGUGAAAUGCAUAGAUAUUACACAGAAUACCGAUUGCGAAGGCAGAUUACUAACAAUAUACUGACGCUGAGGGACGAAAGCGUGGGUAGCGAACAGGAUUAGAUACCCUGGUAGUCCACGCCGUAAACGAUGACAACUAGCCGUUGGGCAGAUUUAACUGUUCAGUGGCACAGCUAACGCAUUAAGUUGUCCGCCUGGGGAGUACGGCCGCAAGGCUAAAACUCAAAUGAAUUGACGGGGGCCCGCACAAGUGGUGGAGCAUGUGGUUUAAUUCGAUGCAACGCGAAGAACCUUACCAAUCCUUGAAAUCUAGCGAAGUUCGCAGAGAUGUGAAUGUGCCUUCGGGAACGCUAUGACAGGUGUUGCAUGGCUGUCGUCAGCUCGUGUCGUGAGAUGUAUGGUUAAGUCCAGUAACGAGCGCAACCCCUAUCCUUAUUUGCCAGCGCGUAAUGGCGGGAACUAUAGGGAGACUGCCGGGUGAAACCCGGAGGAAGGCGGGGACGAGGUCAAGUCAUCAUGGCCCUUAUGGAUUGGGCUACACACGUGCUACAAUGGGAAGUACAGAGGGAUGCUAAAGCGCGAGCUGGAGCCAAACCCUUAAAGCUUUUCUUAGUCCGGAUUGGAGUCUGCAACUCGACUCCAUGAAGUUGGAAUCACUAGUAAUCGCGAAUCAGAAUGUCGCGGUGAAUACGUUCUCGGGCCUUGUACACACCGCCCGUCACAUCAUGGAAGUGGGUUGCACCAGAAGUGGUUAGUCUAACCUUCGGGAAGACGAUCACCACGGUGUGAUUCAUGACUGGGAUGAAGUCGUAACAAGGUAACCGUA
rnacentral:rRNA from 1 species